UACGGGGGGAGCAAGCGUUGUUCGGAUUUACUGGGCGUAAAGGGCGCGUAGGCGGCCACCGCAAGUCGACUGUGAAAUCUCCGGGCUUAACUCGGAAAGGUCAGCCGAUACUGCGGGGCUAGAGUGCAGAAGGGGCAACUGGAAUUCUCGGUGUAGCGGUGAAAUGCGUAGAUAUGUGGAGGAACACCGAUGGCGAAGGCAGCCCCCUGGGUCAAGACUGACGCUCAUGCACGAAAGCGUGGGGAGCAAACAGG
rnacentral:rRNA from 1 species